rnacentral:rRNA from 1 species
GACGGAGGGUGCAAGCGUUGCUCGGAAUCACUGGGCGUAAAGGGUGCGUAGGCGGUGAAUCGGGUUGAAAGUGAAAGUCGCCAAAAAGUGGCGGAAUGCUCUCGAAACCAAUUCACUUGAGUGAGACAGAGGAGAGUGGAAUUUCGUGUGUAGGGGUGAAAUCCGUAGAUCUACGAAGGAACGCCAAAAGCGAAGGCAGCUCUCUGGGUCCCUACCGACGCUGGGGUGCGAAAGCAUGGGGAGCGAACAGG